CCUACGGGAGGCUGCAGUGAGGAAUAUUGGUCAAUGGGCGCGAGCCUGAACCAGCCAAGUAGCGUGAAGGAAGACUGCCCUACGGGUUGUAAACUUCUUUUAUAAAGGGAUAAAGUGCGGCACGUGUGCCUUUUUGUAUGUACUUUAUGAAUAAGGAUCGGCUAACUCCGUGCCAGCAGCCGCGGUAAUACGGAGGAUCCGAGCGUUAUCCGGAUUUAUUGGGUUUAAAGGGAGCGUAGGUGGUCGGUUAAGUCAGUUGUGAAAGUCUGCGGCUCAACCUUGAAAUUGCAAUUGAUACUGGUAGACUAGAGAAUAGUUGAGGUAGGCGGAAUGCAUGGUGUAGCGGUGAAAUGCUUAGAGAUC
rnacentral:rRNA from 1 species